UUCAAGACAACAAAUCGACGUAACAAAGGCGACUGAGUUAUUUCAUAAGAACAUUAGUGUUGGACCAGAAUAUAUUUGCACCUGUUGUGACCAAUUAUGGUAUAGAUCAUCUGUCACUGAGUGCAAUGUUUCUUUAUAUAAAUCUUGUUCAAAAGAAAUCCUUAAUUUAUGUCUGACUGGUCUGAAGAGCAUUGAUAACACUGAAUGGAUAUGUGGUACAUGUCACUCAAACUUAAAGGUUGGUAAACUUCCAAGUUGCGCAAAGGCAAA